rnacentral:rRNA from 1 species
UUAGCCGCGUGCAAUUAUAAGUGGAUUUGGAAAGCGAAAAUUCCCCUAAAAAUUCAAAUCUUCCUGUGGCAACUCUUCCAGGACGCUGUCCUAACAAGAGACGUCAUGAACAUGCGGAAAUGGGCAGGCAACCCCAAAUGCUCGUUCUGCGGAGAAAGAUAGACGUCUCAACAUCUGUUUUCCACUUGUCCUAUAGCUAGAGUGAUUUGGAGGACAGUAGGCUGUGUUCUGGGCACUAAGUUAUGA